rnacentral:rRNA from 1 species
CUUUAGCAACACAAGUAUUAAAGGUCCCGCCUGCCCAGUGAAAUUUAUUUUUAACGGCCGCGGUAUUCUAACCGUGCAAAGGUAGCGUAAUCACUUGUCUUCUAAAUAAAGACUAGUAUGAACGGCUAAAUGAGGGUAAGACUGUCUCUUAUAAUUAAUCAGUGAAACUGACCUUCCAGUACAAACGCUGGAAUAAACACAUAAGACGAGAAGACCCCGUGGAGCUUAAAACUAAUCACUAACACAUUAUUACCCUAGUGCACUGUUUUCAGUUGGGGCGACUUCGGAAUAAAACAAAACUUCCGAGCACAGAACCACCACUUCCUACUAAGGCCAACAAGCCCAAGUACAACCUGACCCGGCUCCAAUGCCGAUCAACGAACCAAGUUACCCCGGGGAUAACAGCGCUAUCUUCUUCAAGAGUCCCUAUCAACAAGAAGGUUUACGACCUCGAUGUUGGAUCAGGACACCCAAAUGGUGCAGCCGCUAUUAAAGGUUCGUUUGUUCAACGAUUAACAGUCCUACGUGAUCUGAGUUCAGACCGGAGAAAUCCAGGUCGGUUU